UAAUAUAAAAUAACUAGUAUUUCUUAAGUGCUUGCGAUCUAACUGGCCUUUUACCUGCUGAGUCUCAUUUAAUGACCAAAAAACCUUCUCAUUUUGCAGAUGAGGAAACUAAGGCUCAAAGAGGUAAAACCCAGUGCCGAUCAUCUCUCGGGGUUCACGAAGCCUGGCUCAAUGUCUCACUCUGGGCUCUCUUCGUGUUCACAUAGCCUUGCUGUUCACGAUCUGUACACUAACCCCACACCUCCAUCGUCUGCCCUUCCAGUCUGUCCCCCUCUGGACAAGAGUCCCUUGAGGGCAGGGACCAGGUGUCUGUCUGCCUUGUGGCCCCAGCCCUUUGCUCGCUGCUGACUCACAAGCUAUCAGCACAAUAGCAGAUGCCAGCCAAGGGCUAGAAGGACAGCCAAGGCAAGAAGAGGACAUCCGUCCCUGUUCUACAAGACCCUGGAAAGUCAGAAAGGCCGUCAGCCUCCAUGGUCACCCAGAGGAACAGAGUGGGAAGAGGAGAGGUGGGAGCAGCAGACCCCUCCCCCCACCAGGAAGGAGAUGAGCAGGUGUCUGCUGGAGAGGAUGCUGAGGAACAUAGCCCGUCUCUCAGAAAGCCUCCAGCCACGAAAGGAGCCAAGGACCACCGCAUGCACACAUCAACACACACACAGCUGUGCACACACACGCAGGCACACUUGUGCACACAGGCGCAUACACACAGCAGACCCACCACCUACACAGGACCUGCCGUAACGGCAGAGGCCUCAGCGCCCGCAGAACCGGACUGAGACCGGGGGUCACUGCCACCAACCACACUCUCGCUCAGGUAAGCCAAACUGCUAUGCACCCCCUCUUUCUUCUAACUUCUGAAAAAUCGUAAAGCGUAACGCACAUUGAGAAGAGUGCAUAAAACACCAGCGUUCAGCGAUGUUCGUGAAGGAAUAGCAGGUAGGAAGCAACCGCGUCUGCACCCCGUCUUGUCUGCUCAGCCGUCACAACCGACCCUUCAGGCUGAGCGGCUUUCGGGACAGACACACGCGGACGUCCUCCUCCGUCCUGGUCAGGGCGCUGGGGCCUCCUCCGGGUUUCAGGCUGCCGCCUUCUCCCGGGGCCGACAGCGGGGUCCUCAUGUUCUGUUCCUUAUUUCUCCGUGUGUCCGGUAGAAAGAGAAAAGUCUCCUUUUGAGUUAGCGGUGUGAGGAAAACUCAAAGAAAGGUGGUUCGAGGCUUUGGUGACGUGUGAGUUGCUUUAGAGAUUUUCAAGGAAGCACGUGAGCUUUUCUCAGGCUGGUGAACGGCAGCCGUCGGGCACACGUCAUUCUCAGGAGACAUCUGCCUCUUUUCUAAAUUACUGGGUCAAGAAUUUGGUUAGAGAAGAAAGAGAGGAAGAGGAAGGGGGAGGAAGAGGAAGAAAAGGAAGAGAGAGAGGAGGGAGAGGAAGCCGGCUCCCGGCGACAGCGCGUGCACGGGCUGCGGUGGCUGUGGUCCCUUCACGACGACCUCCUGGGCCAGGACAGGGCUCCCCGCCUGCCUCAGCCGCCCCAGCGCUCUGGUCCCUCAGAAGAGAAGGGACAGACAACGGUGGCCAGAGGAAGCCAGGCACAAGGCUCUGUCUGCUCCCACUCAUCCGAGCUGUAAGGACAAGGCGAACCUACUGGACCGUUCGCCAUGGGCCCCGCAGCUCCCCUGGGGUGGCGGGGGCGUGGAGGGGACAGCCAGGGCACUUCCGGGGGCCCGAGGUUGUGUUUCUUGAGCUGGGUGCUCACGUGUAUAAAAUUUCACCUAGCUGAACACUCUUGGCGUGGGUGUUUUUCUGUAAGUAUAUUCACUGGCAAGCUAAAGAGAACGAGAGAGAGAGAGAGAGAGAGAGAGGGAGAUAGAGAGAGAGAGAAGGCCAGCACAGCUAAGCCACUCUUCAAAUGUUCGGGGUUUCUGCAGACUCGUGUGCUGGCUUGUCCUCUACGGAGGACUUCCUUCCUGCCCCCCAUAAAAGUUGUAGUAAUGUCUCAUGCCCCAAAUCAGGAAGAGCCUGCUCUUGGAUUUCGCAAGGGGGAAGUUCUGAAGUCCACUGUCCCAUUGUCCACACUGGACCCCUCAAAGUGAACCGGCACCGUGAUGCGGAGGUCUGGGUGACCCUCGGGCCCCGGGACGCGGAGCAGGGCCCUGUAUUCAGCUAAUGCGGGCACCUGCACAGACGUGCGUGUGCACUCCCGGCCAAGACCCUCCCCGCCUGUCUCAGAACUAGACUCCGUUCCCCUGACUUGAAGGAUCUCCACGUGCGUCACCACAAGGUUCUUCUGAGGAAGACCUGGAAUGUGAGGUGUAAACUGAGGCCGCAGGGGGCCAGAAUCAGGGUGCAGCCCGAGCAACAUUCCUCAGGCAGCUCGAGGCCAAAACUCGGGUGAAAACACCACCUUAUUUCCCAGAACAGGCAUCAGGCACGCUGAGUCCCAAGCCUCAUAAAACCUAACGUGAUGUGCUCUCAGGUACCUUGCUUGGACUCAAGCCAAACUCGAAGACAAGGUCCUUCUAAACCCACCCUUUGCAAAGCAGAGAAGAGGCGCCCUCCUCCUCCUCCUGGAGGUGAACCAGGAGGCACAUGCCUCCCCCGAGGGUCCCAGCCUGGGGACAGGCUGCCCCUCAGAAGAGCUGGGGGCUCAGCGAAGAACAUGCAGGCCCGAAGAGACUGAGAACUCGCAGAGCAAAUCACCCGGAAAGAAGCUCACUGCACUCUGGGUGUUUCUGUUGACCCAGUAGGAUGUGGAUUUUCUGUUGCUGAACAGAAGCCCUCUGCUAAAAUCGCCUUUGGAAACCUUUGCUGUUCGUAGGCAUCCGUGAUCGCAAAGAAGUAAAACCAGUAUGCCUGCUACAGAAGUGGCCUCCGAGGGGCGGCGUGGGAGCUCCAGCGGGCACGCGGGAGAGUCGCGGGCCUGAGAGCGUGAGAAGUCACAACUCUGCUGAAAGCAGCGAAGGCAGAGAUGGAGACACCGUCCCUCCUCUUUCACGGCAAACACCCGCGGGGUCACGGGGCAAAUAUCACCCGCGCUGACACGUGGCCACGGGGCUUGGCGCCUUACGAGGCAAGCUCAGCUACAAGGCCCUCCCUUCCAGGAGGUGUUCUGGAACACGUGGGGCAGGUCGCCCCUCCGCAGAAACGAGCCGGACUACUGCCGUUCGGGAGCUAGAGGCCAAAGCAGCGUCCGGUAGAAUCACACCGUCCAACAGCCGGGGAAGCCGUGGAGGAAGCCAGGACGGCCCGUGGCCUCGUGGCCUGGCGUGCAGACCUCCUGUGGGCACCCGUCUGGGGCCCCUCCGCGUCCGGCGUCGCCACCGCAUACCCCUUUCACUCUGAAAAGGGCCAGAUGUGGGCCGCCAAUGAUCCGGGCCACCACCUCCAGGACUGACGCGUCUGGGAAUGUAGCAUCACUGAGUCCUUUUCUUCGUUGACCAGGACAGCCCGGAGGAGAGAUUGGGGUCCAGUGGAAAGCGACCCCGAGCCUUCCAGCACAGUGUCUCGUGCCUUCGGGGCGCGCUGCGGGGCUGGGAGGGGGGCCCUCUCUCCCAGGGGUGCGUGCUGCGGGCCCUCCCCCCUUCUCUUCUGUGAUGGGGGGGUGAGGACAGUGCCUGCACACGCAGGUGGGGUGUGCUGGUUGCCUCCCCCCAGGCACACACCAUCCGCACGCUGUGCACGCGGGCUGAGCACUCGAAACACAAGCUCGACUGCGGUCCCGGUCUCCCGGGGCCCUCAGAGGUGUGGGGGGCUAGCCUGGGCCAGUGCCGGGCACGGGGUCAGCAACCGUGAGGCAAGGACAAGGACUCGGGGGUUCACGGCUGAGGAAGGCAGGAGAGGGGCUGGAAGGUUCUCACGCGGUUGACAGUCCGUAUGGAUUCGGCCAGCGGAUGAGGAUACUGAGUCACACCGGGGCCUCCUUGUUCUUCCAGGCAGCUGUGCACGGCUCGACUUCGGGAUUUCCCUGUGCACGGGUUACGGAGCAAGGCGGGCACGACCUGUCCAAAGAGGAGAAGGUCAAGGCCCAGGAGAAGAGACCCAGGGCAACUGUCCUGCGCCCCGAUCUCCCCCACUGCUGUCCUAGGAGGCAGGAGGGCCCUGCUGGAACCCGUCCCUCUGGUUACUGUCCCAUCAACAGCGAAUCUUGGCAUCCGCGCUGCUCACCGAUCCGGACAGCCUCCAGACAGCAGGAUGUACCCUCGCUUUGGAUUUAGAGCCUGAGCUCCGUCUCUCCUAGUCUCUCCGCACAGACCGCCGUGCCUGAGACCCCAGCCAGGGCAGAGUGAGGGGUCUGACCCCAAAGGCGCAGUCAGACUCUCCCAGGCUCUGGCGGACCAGCGAGGACGAGCACGUCUGGUGGUAUCCACUCUCUUGUCGGUGUGCCCCGUCUGUGCGUGUGCGUGUGCAAUGCCAUAGUGGACGAGGAUCAGGUUGGGGAUCCGAGGGGAGGCUCACUGCGGCCCACCGCCCUCAGCGGUCCGUUUGGCUCUUGGCCACUGAGAGGGGAGAACUACGGUCUUUGGGUAACUCCCUCUCUCUUUGGCCUUGUAAGGAAAUACCUACGGAAGACAGCAGAAGGUGUGUCGGUGAGAUUUGCAGGUGGCAUCAGAAGACCUGAGGAUACAAGGAUGGAUGAGGCCGCAUCCCCGCCCGUAAGGUACAAACGGAGGCCGUCCAGGAGGAUAAUCUUGGGUCACGUCACCCCAAGCGCUGGGCAAGGGGAAAACGGAAGCUGAGUCCUUGGCUACUACUUAUUGCAAGUGAACGGUUCGAAGAGGAAAGCCUUCCGAGCUUCCGGCCUUACCUGGAAACCUGCAGGCAGCGCAGGGUGUGAGUCAGAAUUAUGGUGGCCAACUGAGAGACGACUGCUGGGAAGACAGGACUUGAUGGUGCACAGUCCCUCCCGCCUGGAAGCAUGCUUCUUCAGGACUGGGCCCCGCCAGAGACUCAGCCUCACAUCUGCCGCUGUCUGUCCCACCUCCAUCACCUCCCUGCAGGCUCCAGGAGGCUUAGUAGCUAGAGGUGAUAGACUCUGGAAAUCCAUGUCUGCCAGGAACUCGGAAUCUGGGUGUGCUCAGCUCUGCACACUACCCCUGACGGUCAUGGGAUCCCCUGAAACCCACCCCGCCCGACCCACCCUAAACUCAGCGUUUUGGUCAGGUCAGCAGCUGCAGUGGAAAAGACCCCUUUCCUCCAAUGGUCACGAACGUGGGUGUCCCUGCCCUACCGCUGCUGGGAAGCAAGGACAAACCAUUAACAGACGCUCGAAGUGGGGCGCAGUCCACGAAGUGGGUCUCAAGGACAGUCUUGGCUGGCUUGGCCCUCUGAAGUAGAUCUUCUUACCUCAAUCCUACAAUCAAUAGCUGCGGAAUCCGUGACUGUGCCGAGGACACACGGCCACUCAGAGGCACAGCCGGGUCCAGGCUGGGCCGUCUGCCUGGGCUCCUAGUCCCUGGGGUCCUGGGGUCUGGAUCUGGUUCCCUUGGUCAUAUACUCAGCACCUGACAAUAAAUUACUUUUCUUCCAUGGC